ACAGACACUUUGAAUGAGCUCAUGGUCAUGCUGGGAAGGUGGCCUAGGUAACAGGUAGUUUCCACGAGGCCUUGUGAAGAGCUCCUGGACCAUCUGCCUAAGACUUAUUCCCAGUUAUGGCCCAAAAGAGAAGACUGUCUCCUUAAGCCUGACAUUCAUUGGCCAUCUGCUGGACCAGCCGCAGCACAGGUGUCGGAGCAGGGAGAGAAGGGGCAGGGCUUCUUGGUGGAACUUUCCAGCCCUGAGCAUGACUCUGGGGACCCACCUGUGGGUAAAGAGCCACCUACUCUGUGGCCUACGCCUGCCUCCUUGGUUCAGUUCCCAAAGACAAGGGGGAGAGGCAUUGGUGACCCCAGGAGGGACUCAAGCUAUUUUUUGUCCUUUCUUUCAGGUUCCCACACCCACCCCAGGCUGGGAGACGAGCUGUGGCAGUUCUGGAAAUCCGUCUCCCUACCAGGCCUUAAAGAGCGACUGUCUGCGACUGUCUGCGAUUACCAGGGACUGACUGCGAUCAUCUCCUGCUGCCUGGCACUUUACCUGCAGUCUCUCAUUUACUUUUCGAGAAGUUCCUCCAAGUUCGUGAAAGCACGGCCCCAUUUUGCAGAGGAGAACCCUGAGCAUCUACGGGGCAAAGGAACUUGCCAAGGCGCCGGGCUAAUCUCUGGUGGCAGGAUUGCCUCCGCAAUUCAUGGAGCCUAGCGCGACCUGAAAGUGAGGUGCUCCUGAUUUUAAAAAUUAAGAAUUUCAAGACAGCAGUGGGAACACAAAACCGGUAAUGGACUCUUCUGAGCACGGGUCCAGGACCAAGCUGCUCUGCAGGGAUUUGAACUCCUGCCUAGAGAUUCCAGAAUCUAACUCUUACCCGGGUCCCUUCCAAACUCUACACCUUAUCCUGCCUCAGAGCCUCUGCUGGACUCUGACUCUUCCUCUUCUCUUCCCCACCCCUACCCUCACCCAGCAAGCUUCCGACCUCACCCCCCCCCACCCCCACUUCCUUGAUGAGGGGAAAAAUUGGAGGCUGCGAGGAGCUUUAGACCAGAUAAGAAGAUCCGGGUGGAGGAAGGCUGAGGCUGCAGCGGGUGAGGGCCAAGUCUCAGAAGCCCCCCCGAUUUCCCCUCUCCCCGGGGCUGUCGGGGAGGUAAAUCCAGGACAAGGCUGUCUAUUCCAGACAACUGAGAACCUUGAAACCUGGGGGUGCACUUCAAGGGCAGAGCCACAAUUAAAUGGCAAUAGAGCCCCAUGUUUUUAAGCCUUAACAAGGACUCCCGGGGCUGGAAUUUGACCCCAGGGCUUGCGUCUCCCCAGUGCAGCCAAACAGAUAGCCAGAUCAGGCCUCUGGCCCGGAGUUCCAACCCUGCCUGGCCUGCAACCCCAAAUGUCCCCAAGGGGGACAAGGCCCGCCCUUGGCCAGACGUAGGCGAUGCUUAGGACGCAGAGUGAGGCUGUGCGGCCAAGCAGGGGUACCGCCUGUGUGACCUUAGGAAAAGUGCAUAACCUCUCUGAGCCUCCGGUUUAAAUGGGACAUGCAGAGGCCCCUGGGUGGC